rnacentral:lncRNA from 1 species
UUUACAAUGUUCAGUUCUUUUAAGAAAUCAUUUUCUUUGGAAGAUGAUUUUGACCCAUGAAAAAGUUGUUUUACCCCUGGUAAUCUUUUUGAAAUGGGGCUGGCUGUUAUACAUUAUACAGGUUGUUUUCAGUUAAGUGAAAAGGAGUUGGGCUUGUCUUGAGAAGAAUUCCUCUAAAUUAUGGCACUGAGAAAACUCAGAUAAGAUUUUGGAUUUAGAGUUGAUGCUGUAAUAAUGGGUUGUGACUUUUGAGCACCUAUGAGUGACGUAAAUUUAUUUGUGAUGGAUCUGAAUCUUUUAACACAGGGGUGGAGUGGUGGUCAUAGAGAUGAAACAGUGCUGGUUUUUAAGAUAGAAGGCCGCAAGCCAAGGAAUGCGGAUGUUCUCUAGAAGGUGGAAUGACAAGGAAAUAAAUAAUUCUCCUAUGCAACGCUGCCGACAAACUGAUGUUAAAAGCACCGCGAAACCCGUUUGGACUCCUAACCUAUAGAAUUGUUAAGAUAAUAAAUUUGUGCUAUUUUAAGCCACAUUUUGUAACUUGUUAUG